rnacentral:rRNA from 1 species
CCUACGGGAGGCAGCAGUGAGGAAUAUUGGUCAAUGGACGGAAGUCUGAACCAGCCAUGCCGCGUGCAGGAAGACGGCCCUAUGAGUUGUAAACUGCUUUUGUACAAGGGUAAACCUGAAUACGUGUAUUCAGCUGAAAGUACUGUACGAAUAAGGAACGGCUAAGCCCGGGCCAGCAGGCGCGGUGAGAUGGUGGGUGGGAGCGUUGAUCGGAAUUACUGGGCGAAAAGCGCUGGGUGGGGGUACGUCGAGUCAAGGGUGAAAUCCCCGCGGCCGACGUGGGAACUGCCUUUGAAACUGGCAAACUUGAGUGUGUGAGAGGAUAGUGGAAUUCCAGGUGUAGGAGUGAAAUCCGUAGAUAUCUGGAGGAACAUCAGUGGCGAAGGCGACUAUCUGGCACAUAACUGACGCUGAGGAGCGAAAGCGUGGGUAGCAAACAGGAUUAGAUACCCUUGUAGUC